UACGUAGGGGGCUAGCGUUGUCCGGAAUCAUUGGGCGUAAAGCGCGCGUAGGUGGCCUCAUAAGUCCGCUGUGAAAGUCAAAGGCUCAACCUUUGAAAGCCGGUGGAUACUGUGAGGCUAGAGUACGGAAGAGGCGAGUGGAAUUCCUGGUGUAGCGGUGGAAUGCGUAGAUAUCAGGAGGAACACCAGUGGCGAAGGCGGCUUUCUGGACGGUAACUGACGCUGAGACGCGAAAGCGUGGGGAGCAAACAGG
rnacentral:rRNA from 1 species